rnacentral:tRNA from 1 species
ACGCCAGUAGCUCAGCGGGAUAGAGCAACAGCCUUCUAAGCUGUGGGUCAGGGGUUCGAAUCCCUUCUGGCGUGCCA